AGAGCAUUGGCCCUGGGAAG
rnacentral:miRNA from 1 species